CCCGCCCGCCCUCGGGCCUGGGGCUGGGCCUGCAGCGCCGCCCAGCCAGGAUCCCCAAGCCCCUGCCCCAGGGCAGGGGCGAGGCCGGCCAACUGACAGAACCUCAAGGGCUGGAAGGGACCUCAGAAGAUCACGUAGUCCAACCCCCCUGCCAGAGCAGCACCACCUGGAGUAGGUGAGACGAACUCAUCCAGCUUAUACCCAUUGCCCCUUAUCCUGUCAUUGGACAUCACUGAGAACAGCCUGGAUCCAUCCUCCUGACACCCG